UCUUGUUACUAGGUUUUGGAGAAGGUUGGAAGGCAAAAGUGGGCUCAAGCUGGCCAAAGAUGCACAUGAAGUCUUCACCAUAGAGAACACAGACGAAGAGGAUGAAUGUUAAGAGUGUGAAGAGGUAAGGAGAGAGACGUUUUUUUCUUGGAAGUGAAGGAGAAAGGGAAGAAGAAGUGAAGGACGUUGGUGAUGAAGGUUUCAUGUUUUAGGAUUGAGAAUGAUUGAGUGUCUUUAAAUGUGAUUUCGGUACUCAAAAUGUGACAAUUAGUAUUAGGACAAGAGAAGUUAAGAAAUUAAGAAAUGAACACUUUGGGUUCUUGAUGAUCUCAUUCUACUCAGCCUGCAAAUAAUAUGUGGAAAGACUAUGCCAAAAGAUGAGUAUUGUACAAGGAUUAGGUAGUUUAUAAUAUGCUUAAGAUUAUAUUUGGUGAUGAAAAUUUGUGAAUACGCAAAAUAAUAAUAAUACUUAAGGUGAUGAGUAGGUAAAUGUUGACGCAACAGUGGUUGCCUUGCCUCCUAACUAAUGAUUUUUUUUCAUAAGAUUAUAGUUCAUUUAUCUGCUAAUGACAAAUUAACAAGGUUUUUAUAUAUAUUAAUUAAUCAAGUUCAUGGUUGUAUCCUCUAACAAGCAAAAAUGUAAGUGUCGGUUUGUAUUUUAGUAUUUGUGUUCCUAUAAACAAAAACUUAACAUUAUAUGGGAUGAUGAUUGAUAGAGGUGAGAAAAGUGUAAACUUUUCUUGGCUUUGAAGCUAAGUGUCCUUGAGGUGUUUUCAUACCAUAUGAUGGACUUGUAAAGAUGGCAUAUCAUUGUCUUUCACUUUAGUCCUAUGUUACUUAGAAAACAAUAUAAAACAAAUUUUAGUAAUAAAUACAUAUAUGUAGUGGUAAAGAGUUCAAUAUGAAAUGAAGAGUGGAGUUGGUUGAGAAUUUGUUGGGAUUUCAAGCUCAAGUAGUUGGCUCUCAAUGUUCUUUGUACACAAUCUUCACCUAACAAACUACUAAGCCGAUGUUUGUCUAAAUUGUACAAAGUUCAGCUCUAAGGAGACCUUAGAAGGCAAAAAUGUUAUGCCGAUUGAACCGGUCCAGGCCUAGCAGAACCGACUCUAGAAAGACUAGUCCAAAACAUGGUAACCUUAGUUGACCAAUCUGCAUCAGCCGUCUAAAUCUAAAGACCAAAAAUGACAUGUUUGACAGAUUCGGCUCAGCUAGAUCUCGGCCCUAACCAUCCAAGAUCAAAAAAAAAAAAAAGAAGAUUCGAUUCAUUUAAACUUUGAUCCAUUGCAACGUCUCUACUAGUCAGUGAUCGUUUAACAUAAUGUCAGAAAGAAAAAGAAGGUUCUGUCCCCACACGCUUUAUAUAGUAUGCAAGAAUAUAAUGGAAAGAACAUACGUUUAAACAUCAACCUCAAGAAACUGUCACAACAAUCUCUAGAUGAACAAGAUUCUUCUGUUUCUUUUGAGAUCUAUGACAUGACAAGAUAAAAAACGAGAGGCACUUUUUUUAUAGCAGUUCAAGCAAGCAAGCAAGAAGAAGAAACUACAGUAGUUCUAGACGGUUAAUUAAUCACAAACUUAAACUAGAAGAUGGUUUUGCUUUUCAGCCACACUUCUUCAUACGCAAAGAACAUCGCCCACCAUGAUUUUAACAUUGCAUCUCGAUCUCGAUGACUUGUUGUAAAGUUGGAACAUCUCCAAGACACGUUUAGAAACUCCAUGGUUUUCUUCUAACUCUCUAGUAGGACUAUCAUUCUCUUCUUGAACAUAGACCCUCAUCUCCUCCAAACAUGGCAAAUAGUCCAAGAAAAGCUCUAGCAUUGCCAUCCCUUUCACCGUUCCUCGAAACCCGUGAAUCUUCACCACUUUUACUGGACAACAUCCGAGUGAAGGUCCUCUGCGCUGCCUAUAAAAGCAGCCACAACCACCCCCGCACAUAUACGUCACAUCAUCGUGCAUGAGACCCCCCUAAAAGGCACCAAGGAGAACUAACUAUAAGAAGAGAGACUCAAAAGUAGUAUCAAAAGUAGGAACUGAUCUAUUUUUUGCUUACCUCAAUGACUAGAGUUUCUAAACAUGGACAGUUCCCUAGAAGAGCUGGCAUUGCUUGCCAUCCGCAACCCUUGUCACUCUUAAUAGCUAACGAUUUAUAAAACGGCCUAACUCUAUCGUUAGGGUCUUGAGGCUUGCACUUGACACUUUCACAUCCCUAUCUCUCCACCCUACAUUAACCAGAAUCAACUCCUCAAGAGAAGGCAUGGCACGAAGCAGACUCUCAAACUCUUUAGGACAAACCCCAACCGAGUCAAGAGCUAGAGUUUUGAGCAACGGUAAGGAAACGGAAACGCCACCACCAACCAAAGCAAUAUCAAUCCAACCGUUUAGUUUCAGCUUAACCAGUGUGCUGCACUUUGGAGAGAGCUGGUAGCUGACACCACUUGUUAGGUCGAGGUCAGAGACACCACGAGCUAACGCAUUGCUGAUCCAACCAUCCACACGAGCUGUGUCAUCCACGGUAGGGCACUUGAGGGAGAGUUUCUUUAGUGGAGAGCCCUGCAACGUCAAAACUCUAUCCACAAAGUGUGUGAAGCUCUGUAUGAUUUCUCGCCUGUAGAGUUUACCAUAUUGGGGAUGGAGGAACACAGGGUGGUCGUCGAUGGUGAGAGAAGGGACGAAUGCAAGAAGGUUGCGCCACCUCUUGGCGAGAAUGGAUGUCAAAGCAGCUUCCUUUGUGGUGAGGAAAGAGAGUAUGUGACAAAGAACCUCGUCUGGUAGAUUGCUAACACCAUCCAUCUCUUCUCUGCCUGCAACACACACGAAACAAAAGAAAGUAGAUAAAGCUGAAAGCUUUUUAGUCGGAAGAUAACAGUUUAUUCAAGUAAAGCAUGAAAAAUGUAACAGAGGGAACCAAAGAGGAAAGUUUGAAUCAACUCAAUGUAUGAUCAUAUAAAUGAAAAAUGUGUCUUUUAUUUAUUUUUGUCUUCAAUGAAUAAGCCAACAACAAAAUCAGUUUACAGAAUCAUAAGUUCAAACAACUAGUCAGAGACGAGCAUAAACAUAAAGAUCAAACAUAAGAACAACAAGAACUCAGUGAGACUACAAGCAUAAACAUAGGGGCUGAACAUAAACAUAAAAACUACAAGAACUCAGUGAGACUACAAGCAAUCAAGCAUCCUCAGCUCUUUAAGUUACAUGACGUAAGAUACAAAACAAAGAAAGGGACUAAUACAUUCACGAGUAAUUCACAAGAAGUCACUGAACAAACCCACAAACAAGCUAAAAUUAUACCUGUCUUCCAGCAGCUCUACUUCCAAAAACAGCUUAAGUUCUGGGAGUGGUUGCCUUGUUAGAUGCUUCUCUAAUUUCUCCAACCUACAAAACCCAUUUUCCAAAUUAAACAAUUGAAGAUAACAAAGCUAUAAAAUAAAGUUUCUAGCAUAAGAGUUAAAAUAUUGGACGCGGGCUGGGCUAACCCUACAGCAGAUGAGAUAUAAAAGUGCUUAACCGCUCGGUUUCUAAGCGGAGAUAUGAAGCAAAAGCAAAAGAAAUGUUACUGAAGAAGACAGGCAAGGCAAAAGCUGAGUCGAGUCCAGCUAGUAGUAGUCUAGUGUGAAUAAUAUGAAACUAAAUUAACGUAGUCCACAGUCGCUGGUUGUACGCAAAAACAAAUAAAAAAAAGGUUUCUUGAAUGGUUUUAAUUUAUUGUCCUCAGUUGGUUUUGGUUUGGACCGGUUUACAACCUAUAACGUUGGAAAGGAGAUCAGUUACCAAAUCCCAGAGACCCAGGAAGAAAAUUUUACAAUUUGAACAGUUAGCAAAUCAAAAAAAAAAAAAAAAUGAACUCAUUUGAUCAUUUGAUUCAGUUAUAACAAAUGAACAAGAUUCUUCUUUUUCUUAAGAGAUCAAUGCAACAACUUGGGAGAUUUGUGUUCAGUGACAGCUAGUUGACCCGCGAAUAGGAGGCUUGUUGGCCAUGACUUGAACCCCUGAAUCUCUGGAAUAGUGAACCAAAGCAGCUCUGCAAGAUGAAGAGAAAGAGUAAAACUUAUUGCAUGUGAUUCUUAGAUUUAAACACAACAAGUAGAGUAUAUAGAAAAACAGAACAACACCUGUAUUCUGUGAGGUACAGUGACCCAGAAAUCAGAAUUUGGGAUUACCUGUAUUAAUAAGGUAUCAAUCAGUACAUGAGAAAAAUCUCACAAAAUAUGUAAGGGAGUUAGUGAAAACAUACUUCUAUGCCACGAAUUCCAAGGGAGAAAUAGCGAUAUAAUGAACCUCCCAGCAGAUAAGCUCCGAAUAAACAUAAGAUACUGAAGAAAAGAAGAGAACAAUUACAUUAAGUUCCUAAACAUAUUCCAAUAGCCAAUCCUGUAUAAGAAAAAAAUGAUGUACUCACAUGAUUAGUAAGGUACUAAACAAGCCCCAUCCACUACCAUGGCCUGAUAUAGCUACUGCACAGCCUGAAGGAUGUCGCAUCUCAGUAGCCUGCCAGUGAAUCAAGUUCCCAAAUUUUAGUUGUAUGAAUGAAUGAAUGAGAGAAACAAGAUAAUAUCUUAAUUAAACAGCUCUAGCGUCAAAAGUUAAGCCAGACAGAAACCAAAGUCUUAACUACUUGUUAUGCCAUUACUUUCUUAAAUAAUAUUUUUGUUUUUACUCCUACAUACUCUACAGCUCACUGUCUCUGACAAUGCAGAAUAAGCUUCGGAUGGUAAUUUUACAGCUAUUGGAAAAAGAGCAAGUUGAUGAGUUACUGGACACUCACGUAAUCACAGGUACCAGAUUUCGUUAGAGUGAGUGGUCCCUGAGAAAUAGAAAAAGGCGAAUAAGGUAUUACUUAUAAGGUACUAGAAACUGUUAGAACCAAAGUCAAGGAAAACGUCUGAUAUACAACUCCUUACAUCAACUUUAUUUUUCUGGCAGAUAACAGAAACUGAAAGUGAGCAAUUUGGGUUACUACUUCCAGCUAACAUCUUAACAAUGAUGCCUUUGCCAGGAUCCUCUUUAUCUACAGUUUUCAACACAAAAUUCUCUGAGACAGUAUUGGGAGAAAAAAAACAAUAAAAAGCUUCGUCCCAACUAGGAACGCACGCAAUGCCAUGAUUCCAUCAGUACUAGCGAAGCGACUAGAGAAAAAAUAGUCUAUAACAUAUAUUAAAACCUUACCAAUAACAUCAACUUUUGAGCUUGAGGCAUGCCCAAGAGAAGUGCAAACAUCAUAUCCUGCCAACGAUAAGAGCAGAAAAUCAAAGGAAUCGUAUUGUAAUUUGUAUGCAAUAUCUGCACCUUAUAAAUAUUCAACUCGGCCUCAUAAGAUACAUUAGAAUCACAAGAUGUAGUUUUUACCUCUUACAUUUUCUGACAGGAGUGCACUACACGAUGUCCCACAGUGUGAUGGACCUCCGCAAUCCUAAGUGAAGAAAAGGAAAGUCGUAGAGACUGAUUAAAAUUUCCAAAUCCAGAAAUAAAAACUCCCUCUCUUUUUCUUCUUGAAAGAUUAAUCAAAACAGUGGGAAUUGAUACAAAAAAUCUUACUUGGCAACCAACACAUCGAGGAGGGUCGUGAUUGAAAAUAAGCAAGUCACAAAGCUGCUCCACAAUAACAAAGGUAACAAUCAUAAAUCACACUGGUCUAGUGUAAAACACAAAGGGCAGUAUAACAACCACCUAAAGUGAAAAGACUUUCCUAAACAAAAUCUUAUGCUCUUUCUUCUUUAACUAGCUACAGCAUGCACGAAAAGCAAGAUACACAUACAAAGUGUAAACCUGAUGUAGAGGACAACCUGAAACCAAAGCACGGUACUGUUCGCUUCCACUCUAUAAAACCUGAAACAUCAAUCCAAUCACACUUGCGUUUAGUAUAAGCACAAGAUCGAAAAGAAUGUUAAAAACUGAAACUUUAUGGAAUUUGAAGAGUACCCAUCUUCGCUGAGAGCACCGUGAGGGUGAUUCUUAACCGAAGAAGCUAAAUUGAAAUCGAAGACCUUGUUGCGUCGAUUGAAUCUGAACUCGCAUUGAGAGUUAGCUCCGAAGGGGAUAAGGACGAGAGCGAUGAGGAGAAUCUUUGGGAUCCAGAGCGUCUCCGCCAUGUCCGUGGAUCUCGACGGAGAAGAAGAAGAAGAGAUGAUUGCUCGUCACGGUUGCAGUCCCGGUCGCUCUUCUUCGAUUUACAUCAGCCGUUGAUUCAGAUUUUCACUUGCACCCCUCAACUAUGUACUUCUUACGAAUCAGCACCGUAACUUUUGUGUCUUUCAGUUAAGGUCUCUCGAUUUUUUUUAUUAUUUGAAAGCCUGGAUGGUUUUAUCAUAUGGGCUUAUAUUGAUGACAACCAUACCCUUGAACGGCCUAGUUAAAACUCAGCCGAAGAAACUGGUCCAUUAGGAGUGGCAUCUCGCUAAAAUUCUCAAAAUAUAUUAGUAUAAACUCCUUAAUAAAUUAGUACUUAAAUAUUUAUAAAAAAACUAAUAAACAUUUCAAUUUCUAUAUAUUUUUUUAUAUUGAUCUAAUGAUCUUGUACUUUGUUAUAAAAUGUUCCUAAUAUCAAUAUAUUGAUUUGUCAAAAAAAUAAAUUAGUACUUAAUAGUAUAUGUCAAAAUCAUCAAAUUCUUAGACUAAGUAUCUUAAAUGAAAAAAAUUGAUAUAAUAUUUUCAUAACUUAAAAUACCCACAGUUAAACAUGAAUAUUUCCAUUAAAAUGCUUUUAUGGUCUUUUUUCCCAUUAAAACUGAAUUCCAUUGAUAUAGCAAUGAACAUUACAUUAGCAUAACAAAUCAUAACUUCUUAUUACACGGUUUAUCAACUCAUCUUAUCACCAUAAAAAUUCAGUUAAAAACAAACACGGCAGGAAAGUACAAAUACUGCACUAGAGUGGUGAAAACGAGUUGGUCAGCCACUCCGUUAUGAGGUAUAUACGGCGGCGACGCAAUAUGAUCACAUAGUGGUCGGCCGCUUCCACAUGUCGACUUGACUCCGUUGAAAUGAUUUAUGGUCUAACAUCAGAUUUUUUGCUGUCUUAGAAACAUUUAAUAUUUUUUUAAAUAAUUUAAUAGUUAUAAAAGUUAGUGAAAAUUAUCCAAACAAAACGAACCAGACUGUAACCAAAAUAAUCAAAUUGUUACCAGUUUCCACUGAUUUCUUUAUUAUUAAACCAAAAUGAAAUCUAUUUAAAAUUCUUAACUUUUAAAAAUUAUAUCUGAAUUAUGUUAAAAAUAAAUAAAUUAUAUCUGAAUUAUGUUAAAAAUAAAUAAACAAGAAGAAGAUUGAAGUUGCCAGGUGAACUUUUAAGUAUUUAUACUUUGAUACAAUAUAUUUGAUAUCAAAAUAUACUACCAAAAUCAUGGAUUACAUCAUGGAAGAGGUGACAACACAAAUCAUAAGGCAUAAUCUCUUUGUUGUAUGACGAUAUUCUUAUAAUCGUUGAAAAAUAGUCUUUCCAAUGUUUAUUUCUUACGGUAGAAUCAACAAAUUGGAUUCUGAACCAAAAAAUAUAUUUAUAUUUAAAUUGGAAUAAAAUUAAGAAUUAGUGUUUAUAAUGCGACAAAACUUUAAAAUUCGCAAGAAAGAUUAAUAGAGUUGAUACUCUAAUAAUAAAGAAUUCUCAAAGAGAAUCAUCAGCUAUUUCAUGUGUUAUAUUAUUUUCCACAUUAGUAUAACCAAGUUAUUUUUUUGUAUUUUCAUAAUUCUGUACGUAUUUGUAUAAUUUGAUUACAAUCUAAUUAAUAAAUUUUAGUUGUCAAAAGUAAAAAAAAAAACCGAAAAUCUGCAGGCCUAUUGAUAACCAAACAAAAAAUCUGAUCCAAACUUAAUAACAUGGGCCGUCAAACUUUUGGCCCAGUUAAAACCUAAUGACUUCCCCUAAUUCUCCAAACGUCGCCGUUUUCACAAAAUUUCCGUUUUAUAUUUUUCUUCCUCACUCGUCUCUCUGUUCCCUGAACUAUAUCCCAAACAAUCUGCCAGAUCACUCCGUCGCUUAAAAACCCUAAAAAUCUCUCCGCCGUCUAUCCAAAUUCGCUUAACCAUGGCGACACCGAAUCUAGAGUGCCGCAUGUACGAAGCCAAGUACCCGGAGGUAGACAUGGCGGUGAUGAUCCAGGUCAAAUCCAUCGCCGACAUGGGAGCCUACGUGUCGCUCCUCGAGUACAACAACACCGAAGGCAUGAUCCUCUUCUCCGAGCUCUCCCGCCGCCGGAUCCGGAGCGUCAGCAGCUUGAUCAAGGUCGGGAAAAUCGAGCCCGUCAUGGUCCUGCGUGUCGACAAGGAGAGGGGGUACAUUGAUCUGAGCAAACGCAGGGUUAGCGAGGAGGAUAUUCAGACUUGUGAGGAGAGGUAUAAUAAGAGCAAGCUCGUUCAUUCUAUCAUGCGCCAUGUUGCUGAGACGCUUUCUAUUGAUUUGGAGGUAAAUAAAAAUCGAAUCUUUAGUGGUAUUGAUUGUGUAGAUUCUGCAUUUAGUGUAAAGUAGCUACCUUUGUGUGUGGUAACUGUUAUACAUUAGUGAUUAGAUAUGUACAGCUAUUAUAGUUUACUGGUGUAGUCUUUGAUUAUACAUUGGUUUGAGUCUCUCAUAUAGUGUAAAGUAGCUACCUUUGUGUGUGGUAACUGUUAUACAUUAGUGAUUAGAUAUGUACAGCUAUUAUAGUUUACUGGUGUAGUCUUUGAUUAUACAUUGGUUUGAGUCUCUCAUAUAGUGUAAAGUAGCUACCUUUGGUGUGGUUAUGUUGAGACUUGCAACUGUUAUAUAUUAGCGAUUAGAUCUCUUCAUCUACAGCUAUUAUAUAGUUUACUGAUGUAAUUUUUGAUUAUGCAAAUUCUUUAUAUAGUGUUAAGUAGCUACCUUUGAGUGGUGAUGCUGAGACUUGAAACUGUUUUAUCUUAGUGAUUAGAUCUCCUCAUCUACAGCUAUUAUAGUUCACUGAUGUAACCUUUGAUUAUGCAAGUUCUGCAUAUAGUGUAAAGUAGCUAUCUUUGUGGGGUGAUGCUGAGGCUUGAGACUGCUAUAUCUUUGUGAUUAGAUCUCUUCAUCUACACCUAUCAUAGUUUAUUGAUGUAAUUUUAGAUUAUGAAAAUUCUGCAUAUAGACUGAAGUAGCUACCCUAGUGUGGAUGUGGUGAUGCUGAGACUUGAAACUGUUAUAUCUCUUCAUCUGCACUUCUGCAGCUAUUAUAGCUUACUGAUGUAACCUUUGACUAUACAUUGAUUUGAGUUUUCCUUUUGCAGGAGUUGUAUGUGAACAUCGGUUGGCCUUUGUACCGUAAACAUGGUCAUGCUUUUGAGGUAAAAACUUUUUUAUUUAGCCUUUUAUUGCAUCCCCGUAGAUGGCUAUCUCUCAAAUGUUUUUUUUUAUUGUUUAGGCCUUCAAGGUCUUAGUAACUGAUCCUGAUUCUGUGUUGGAUUCCCUCACCCGUGAAAUCAAAGAAGUUGGGCCUGAUGGGCAGGAGGUAUAUACUUUUCUCGGGUUUUGUUUUAUUUGUUAGUACUUAGUACAAACUUCCUUUGAUGCUAAUGUUACUAGUAUUCUAUUUGCAGGUGACUAAAGUUGUACCCUGCUGUUACGGAAGAAGUGAAAGAUGCGCUUGUGAAGAACAUCAGGAGGAGAAUGACACCACAACCAAUGAAAAUGGGAAAGAGCUUACGAGGGAAGGUUGCAGUGAUUAGGUUGCCACCGCCAGAACUGGUAAUCUUUGUCGGGACGGCCGCGUUCUUGACACGUAAGCUGAGGUUGGAUGUACGGACACUCCCGUUCCUCGUACUGUGGUCGGGAAGCUUCAUCUCUCACCCAUUUUCCGCUAAAGACGUCACAGUUUUCCUCUGUUUUGCCAAUAGCAAACGCAAGCUUCUCUGCUUUCUUGUUACUAGGUUUUGGAGAAGGUUGGAAGGCAAAAGUGGGCUCAAGCUGGCCAAAGAUGCACAUGAAGUCUUCACCAUAGAGAACACAGACGAAGAGGAUGAAUGUUAAGAGUGUGAAGAGGUAAGGAGAGAGACGUUUUUUUCUUGGAAGUGAAGGAGAAAGGGAAGAAGAAGUGAAGGACGUUGGUGAUGAAGGUUUCAUGUUUUAGGAUUGAGAAUGAUUGAGUGUCUUUAAAUGUGAUUUCGGUACUCAAAAUGUGACAAUUAGUAUUAGGACAAGAGAAGUUAAGAAAUUAAGAAAUGAACACUUUGGGUUCUUGAUGAUCUCAUUCUACUCAGCCUGCAAAUAAUAUGUGGAAAGACUAUGCCAAAAGAUGAGUAUUGUACAAGGAUUAGGUAGUUUAUAAUAUGCUUAAGAUUAUAUUUGGUGAUGAAAAUUUGUGAAUACGCAAAAUAAUAAUAAUACUUAAGGUGAUGAGUAGGUAAAUGUUGACGCAACAGUGGUUGCCUUGCCUCCUAACUAAUGAUUUUUUUUCAUAAGAUUAUAGUUCAUUUAUCU
rnacentral:lncRNA from 1 species